rnacentral:rRNA from 1 species
AGGCCGGCUCGCGGGAUUGCCACUCCACUCGAAGUCCAGCAUUGAGUAUGGUCACUGGAAUUGGCCCAGAGAGGGUGAAAGGCCCGUACGGGUGGAGUUUCAGACAAGUCAGGCAAUUCACCAGGUCGACCUUCGAGUCGGGUUGUUUGAGAAUGCAGCCCAAAGUGGGUGGUAAACUCCAUCCAAGGCUAAAUACUAGCACGAGUCCGAUAGCGAACAAGUACCGUGAGGGAAAGUUGAAAAGUACUUUGAAGAGAGAGUAAACAGUACGUGAAGCCGCAUGCAGGUAAACGGGUGGCGCCAAGCUGCGGGCUUGGAGAAUUCAGUUGGCUAGGUUGCAUGAUGCGCCUGACGCGUCUAUCGGUCGGAAUAAGCAGUGAUAGUCCACUGGUAAACGGUGGGCCCGGUCGCAAGACUGGGAUAUGUGUACCGAGCGGAAGCCGGAGCAUGCUAUCUAUCUGUUGGACCGCCUAGUCAGUGCACUUUCUCUAUGGCCAACACCACGACCGGUAGUAUUGCCAGUCUGCUGUAGCCAAGUCGUAUCUGAUGGGUCCUUGUGGCUAAUUGGGUGCGAUCACAGGCAAAUCCAGUGAACGGCGUAGAGUGGCUCUUCGGGGACGCUUUGCGUGUUAUCGGUAACUGGUUGUGAUCGGGUCGCUUGAUGGCGCGGUAACCGUUGUCAGGUGGCCUGGUGGGCUAUGGUGGUAAGAAUAACUGUGCAAGGUACCGGGGUUAGCGACCUCAAUUGCUAUCUGCACGCACGUUGCCUAGUGUAAUGUGGGGAUGGCGUAACCGUGGUCUGCCUGUUGUUGAGUCUGAUUGUCGUGUCGCCCGCAAAAAGUGGGCCCGGCNGUGGCUUGAUGCGGGAUGGGCUGUGGGCGUUGUCUCUGGUGUGGACUGUAGUGGGUCUGAUAGUCAGUGGUGCGGCGGUAGGCUAGCUUCCCGACCCGUCUUGAAACACGGACCAAGGAGUUUAACAUGUAUGCGAGUCAAAGGGUCCUACGAAACCCCAAGGCGCAGUGAAAGUGAAGCUUCGACUUGUCUCGGAGUGUGGUGAGAUCCUGCUGUUACUCGCAUCAGCCUUGGUGUCAGCAUCAGGCUUAAGAGCGGUAGGCGCAUCACCGGCCCGUCUCAUGAUGUGGUCAUUGGAUGUAUGCAGUUGCUGCGCAA